rnacentral:rRNA from 1 species
UACGAAGGGGGCUAGCGUUGCUCGGAAUCACUGGGCGUAAAGCGCACGUAGGCGGAUCUUUAAGUCAGGGGUGAAAUCCUGGAGCUCAACUCCAGAACUGCCUUUGAUACUGGGGAUCUCGAGUCCGGAAGAGGUGAGUGGAACUCCGAGUGUAGAGGUGAAAUUCGUAGAUAUUCGGAAGAACACCAGUGGCGAAAGCGGCUCACUGGUCCGGUACUGACGCUGAGGUGCGAAAGCGUGGGGAGCAAACAGG